UACGUAGGGUGCAAGCGUUAAUCGGAAUUACUGGGCGUAAAGCGUGCGCAGGCGGCUUUGCAAGACAGAUGUGAAAUCCCCGGGCUUAACCUGGGAACUGCGCCUGAGACUGGAAGGCUUGAAUUCGGGAGAGGGAUGUGGAAUUCCAGGUGUAGCGGUGAAAUGCGUAGAUAUCUGGAGGAACACCGGUGGCGAAGGCGGCAUCCUGGACCGAGAUUGACGCUGAUGCGCGAAAGCCAGGGGAGCAAACGGG
rnacentral:rRNA from 1 species